UUUCUCAAGUCUGAAGCAUUUCUGAGCAAGACGACACAUAGAAUUCAAAGUUGAGUUGUGAUACAGGGGUUAAAGCGACAUGAGUGUAGAUAAGACACAGGUUUGUUAGAAAAUAGACACCAUCUUAGCAGAAAAUAGACACCUCUGCUAUAUAUAUUGGGACAUAUAAAAAAAGACAACUCUGUUCCGCAGAGUAGCUGUUGACAUUAUAGUUGCGCUGGAACUUUGUUGACUCUAGAGAACCUCGGGCAAAUCGCACAUCCCCGUGGAGGCGAUUUUGCGAGCGGAUGUCAUCCAUAUCAACUUUCGAUGUCAGUUUCUGCACCUCUCAUGGUGACCACGGGUAACAGGGAAUCAGGGUUCCAUUCUGCACAGGGACCCAGAGAAACGGCUACCACAUGCAAGGAAGGCAGCAGGCGUGCAAAUGACCCACUCCCGACGCGGGAAGGUAGUAACAACAAAUAACAAUACAGGACUCUUUAGAGGCCCUAUAAUUGUAAUGAGUCCACUUGAAAUUCUUUAACUCUGAUCAAUUGGAGGGAAGUCUGGUGCAGUGCGACUGACCCAUGCGUGCUGCAGCUAAAAACUCCACU